GAUGAACGCUGGCGGCGUGCCUAAUACAUGCAAGUCGAGCGAACGGACGAGAAGCUUGCUUUUCUGAUGUUAGCGGCGGACGGGUGAGUAACACGUGGAUAACCUACCUAUAAGACUGGGAUAACUUCGGGAAACCGGAGCUAAUACCGGAUAAUAUUUUGAACCGCAUGGUUCAAAAGUGAAAGACGGUCUUGCUGUCACUUAUAGAUGGAUCCGCGCUGCAUUAGCUAGUUGGUAAGGUAACGGCUUACCAAGGCAACGAUGCAUAGCCGACCUGAGAGGGUGAUCGGCCACACUGGAACUGAGACACGGUCCAGACUCCUACGGGAGGCAGCAGUAGGGAAUCUUCCGCAAUGGGCGAAAGCCUGACGGAGCAACGCCGCGUGAGCGAUGAAGGUCUUCGGAUCGUAAAACUCUGUUAUUAGGGAAGAACAUAUGUGUAAGUAACUGUGCACAUCUUGACGGUACCUAAUCAGAAAGCCACGGCUAACUACGUG
rnacentral:rRNA from 1 species